rnacentral:lncRNA from 1 species
GGAUUCUAACUCAUGAAACAAAAAAACAAACAAUGGUUACAAGUUAUCUUUCUCUGAGAAUGAAAAAACAAUUUUGCUUUGUGAAAUACUAGGUCAAACCACCUAAUAGUACUACUUGGAGGGAUCAAUUAAGCUGGAAAUUAGCCUGAAGGAAAGAGAGCCCUGAUGGCUUCAGAGCUCAAAGAUUACAGUCAUCAAAUGCUGCCACAUCCCCCAGGGACUUCCCAGCUUGUUCACUACUGCGUAUAAUGGUGAAUGGCACUAAUUCUCCUCAGGGCCCUGAGGCUGUCUGAAAUUGAAGCAAAGAAGCCAUAUCUCCACAGUUCUCAUAUACUGAAUACACAAUAUACCCUCUGAGGAGGGUUGAACCUACACAUGGUUACUUGAGCAAUAGACGAUUCCAGGGCAUUGCAGUAUGGGACGCCUUUGGGAAAUGUGUCAAGGAGUAAAGAGUCUUAUCUAUUUGAUGCUACUAAAUUUGAUACAAAUAUUUCCUCUCUCCAAAUCCCCCCUCUCUCUUCCUAAAAGAAGUGCUUCUUCUGACUUCUAUCCAUAUCCAGGUCCUCACUUUCCCUACUAUCUCUCAGGGUCUGUCUUCUUUUGCACAUUGUGGAGGAGUCUUAGCCUAUUGUUAUCUAUGCCCAUGCUCCCUCUACAUUCCUUAUUUGAACCCCAAACUUAUCUCUCCCCUGUCUUUCUCAUGUCAUUGGAGGUCCACACUCAUACACACAGCUACCCAGGAACUUACUCUACAGAGAUGAUCGGUAGCUGUAUUUACACCUGACUCAGAGCAAGGUUUUUACU